GCUGCUGCCGGACGGGACGCCGGACGUGCAUUACCGGACGGCGCGCGGCGGGCAGAAGCUCAGGGACGUCAUGCUCGACGGCUACAUCGACCUCUACGGGCCCUACGAUAAAGUUCUUCUCAACUGCUCAGGGGGCGGUGUGUGCGGGACCUGCGUCGUCGAGGUGGUCGAAGGCAAGGAAAUGCUAUCCCCAAAAACCGAAGUGGAGAAGGAGUUGCUCAAAAGGAAACCCAAGACGUGGAGAUUGGCGUGCCAGGCAACGGUGGGCAAUGCAGAUUCAACCGGACAGAUGAUCAUUCAACAGUUGCCAGAGUGGAAGAUACAUGAGUGGGACAAGUAGAAGGGCAGAUGCCAUGGAAAAUGGGGAAAAUGAGAAGCAGUUGAUCAGUAGAAUAGCUGGUGCAGAUUGAUGAAGCUUUUCAUACUCAAGCAAAAUCUUGGGCAUGUUUUUCACCAUUUGUAGCACAACUGAAUGGAGCAUG